CCCGACGCCAGCGCUGACGUCUGCGCGGGGGAGGGGAGGCCACUCUGGGUAACCGAGUUCCCUACCCAGGCAGCAAGAGUUAGACGCGUCCGUCCUGGAAAGUGGCUCGCUGGUGGGCGGGAAGCUUUAGCCCUGGUUGUGGAGUGUAAAUCCGGCGCCGGGCAGACGCUCACGUUCGCAGGACCCCAGCAUUCUGGAGUCCGCUGCAACCCAAGGAAAAUGGGCCGGACCUUGCCAGCUGCUGUUGAUGAAUGGACCCUGCAAGAGCAUGAACUCUCCUGUAUCAUUCAUCCAAAUGAAGAAUGAAAGAAAACAGUAACUGCAUCAUGGACAGCGAAACUUAAGAGGGGACCUGUACAUCUGCAUAUAUGCUUUUCCAAAUUAGGAAUGUCAUGUAAAGGCACAGGAGAGACAGAGGAGACCCCAUGUGAAGAUGGAAGCAGAAGUUAGAGUGAUGUGUCAGCAAGCCAAAGAAUGCCAAGGAUUUCCAGCAACCACCAGAAGCUAGAAGAGAGGCAUGGAACAGAUUUUUUUUCUCUCAGUGCUUCUAGAAGAAACAAACCCCGCUGACACCUUGAUUUUAGACUUCUAGUCUUCUGAACUAGGAGAAAAUAAAUGGUGGUUAUCCUAA